GGGCGUUAAGUUGCAGGGUAUAGACCCGAAACCCGGUGAUCUAGCCAUGGGCAGGUUGAAGGUUGGGUAACACUAACUGGAGGACCGAACCGACUAAUGUUGAAAAAUUAGCGGAUGACCUGUGGCUGGGGGUGAAAGGCCAAUCAAACCGGGAGAUAGCUGGUUCUCCCCGAAAGCUAUUUAGGUAGCGCCUCGUGAAUUCAUCUCCGGGGGUAGAGCACUGUUUCGGCUAGGGGGCCAUCCCGGCUUACCAACCCGAUGCAAACUGCGAAUACCGGAGAAUGUUAUCACGGGAGACACACGGCGGGUGCUAACGUCCGUCGUGAAGAGGGAAACAACCCAGACCGCCAGCUAAGGUCCCAAAGUCAUGGUUAAGUGGGAAACGAUGUGGGAAGGCCCAGACAGCCAGGAUGUUGGCUUAGAAGCAGCCAUCAUUUAAAGAAAGCGUAAUAGCUCACUGGUCGAGUCGGCCUGCGCGGAAGAUGUAACGGGGCUAAACCAUGCACCGAAGCUGCGGCAGCGACACUUAGGUGUUGUUGGGUAGGGGAGCGUUCUGUAAGCCUGCGAAGGUGGCCUGUGAGGGUUGCUGGAGGUAUCAGAAGUGCGAAUGCUGACAUAAGUAACGAUAAAGCGGGUGAAAAGCCCGCUCGCCGGAAGACCAAGGGUUCCUGUCCAACGUUAAUCGGGGCAGGGUGAGUCGACCCCUAAGGCGAGGCCGAAAGGCGUAGUCGAUGGGAAACGGGUUAAUAUUCCCGUACUUGGUGUUACUGCGAAGGGGGGACGGAGAAGGCUAUGUUGGCCGGGCGACGGUUGUCCCGGUUUAAGCGUGUAGG
rnacentral:rRNA from 1 species